GAUGAACGCUGGCGGCGUGCCUAAUACAUGCAAGUCGAGCGAACUUUUGGGAGCUUGCUCCCUAUAGUUAGCGGCGGACGGGUGAGUAACACGUGUGUAACCUGCCUGUAAGACUGGGAUAACUUCUGGAAACCGGAGCUAAUACCGGAUAACAUUUAAUACCACAUGUCCUUCAAUUAAAAGGUGGCUUUUAGCUACCACUUACAGAUGGACCCGCGGCGCAUUAGCUAGUUGGUGAGGUAACGGCUCACCAAGGCGACGAUGCGUAGCCGACCUGAGAGGGUGAACGGCCACACUGGGACUGAGACACGGCCCAGAAUCCUACGGGAGGCAGCAGGAGGGAAUCCUUCGCAAUGGACGAAAGGCUGAAGGAGAAAAGCCGGGUGAGGGAAGAAGGGCUUCGGGUCGGAAAGAUCUGUUGAUAGGGAAGAAAAAGAAGCGUUCGAAUAGGGCGGUACCUUGACGGUACCUAACCAGAAAGCCACGGCUAACUACGUG
rnacentral:rRNA from 1 species